GUGGGGAAUAUUGGACAAUGGGCGAAAGCCUGAUCCAGCCAUGCCGCGUGUGUGAAGAAGGUCUUCGGAUUGUAAAGCACUUUAAGUUGGGAGGAAGGGCAGUAAGUUAAUACCUUGCUGUUUUGACGUUACCGACAGAAUAAGCACCGGCUAACUUCGUGCCAGCAGCCGCGGUAAUACGAAGGUGGCAAGCGUUAAUCGGAAUUACUGGGCGUAAAGCGCGCGUAGGUGGUUUUGUAAGUUGGAGGUGAAAUCCCCGGGCUCAACCUGGGAACUGUCUCCAAAACUGCAUGACUAGAGUACGGUAGAGGGUAGUGGAAUUUCCUGUGUAGCGGUGAAAUGCGUAGAUAUAGGAAGGAACACCAGUGGCGAAGGCGACUACCUGGACUGAUACUGACACUGAGGUGCGAAAGCGUGGGGAGCAAACAGGAUUAGAAACCCUUGUAGUCC
rnacentral:rRNA from 1 species